GCGCUCUGGCGCUGCUCCCGAGCAAGCAGGCAGCGGAAGGCAACUGCGGGUGUGCUCGUAUUCUGCAAAAAAGGCUCCUUAAAUUCGUAUAAAUGAAGGUGUUGGGACUUUUAAGAGGGACUGGACUAUGGAGUAGUGUAGCAGUGAAUGAAAUAAGUAACCGAAGCUAUUUGUGUUCAGUGAUUAUGUGUACAGAGGGUUGCAACUUUACAAUACAAUGUGUCCACAUUUUACUGGGAAUCUCAUCAAAUUCGGGGAUGUUUAACAUUCAAGCAUUUGUGUGGAGAUAUCUUAAUUUUAAAGGUUUCUGCAGAUCUCCUUAUCUAGGCCUUUUUCUACAACCAUUUUACCCAACUUGGAACGUUCCAGAAAUUUUAAACUACAACCCACAGCAUUCUUGGCUCUGCUUAUGGCUGGAGCUGAAGGAAGUUGGAAUCCUAAAACAUCUGGACAGCGCUAAUUUGUGUAAUUUAUACUCCCUUGCCACUUGUCCCUUCUCUGCUCUUUGUAAUGCUGCAGCCAAAUUUGUGUGCUGCCUUUUUUACUUAUAUGAGGUCUCCCAUUGUGGUUCUCUGUAUUUUUUAAACAUUGCUUUUAAUUCUCUAGCCAUACAUGGGGAGAGCAUUGGGCCCUUGCUAUUUUGGACAGGAUUUUGAAACUAGUCUUUCUAUGAUGAAACUUUACACAGACCUGUACUGAAAUGUUCUGUGUGGACGUCCGUUAGUUUCUGAGAAAAUUGCUGCCUUCUGUAUUUUGUCGAAUGCUUUUACAUUCAAGCUCUGGUUGCUGAUGACUGUUCUAACUUCUUCUUCAGAUCUGCAAGAUGCCUGCCUUUUUCUUUACAGGUGAGAUAGAGAUUUAUCUGAGCUGUUACCUCAUCUUUCUAGCUUGCUGGGUUGGGUGUUAAGUUUCUGGUGUAUGGGAAGUCUUUUUCCAAAAAGUUGCAAGCUUCGGCUUGACUCAUGGAGCAGAAGACGUCAUCUUGACAAGAAUUCUGUGCAAUUUGAAUGCUUGUUAUUUCACCCCCGUAAUUGUUCAUUAAAAGGAUGUUGGAGAAUCUGCAGUCAUUGUAACUCCUUGAGAGAGGUGUCUUGUUCAUUCGCCGUUGUGACUUUUGGUAUUAAAAAAAAGAGUGCUUGGUAUUGGUGUAAUGAUUGUUGUCUCGUGCCUUGAACAUCCAUGUUUGCAAAUCUUCAGGUUACUUCUGCAAUCUUGGAUAUGAGUCGUCAUGAUUCUAAUGAAACGGACCCCAGUUCCAUAGGUUGUCUAGUUUGGUUAGAGCAGCCAGGGUUUAGUGUUCCAGAUCUGGGUUGCAAAAAUUACUUCUGAGGUUGGUAGUCAAACUGUACCAGCUAAAAGAAUAAUGAAAGUGUCUAAGUCCUGGCAGAUUACUUCUCUUACUGGCUCAGCUUAACCUUCUGGAAUCUUACCUUUUCAGCAAUGGGUGGAAUCAUGCCACAGGAUCCUGUCUAUCUUGCAGAGGGAUUUUUGGAGCCUCAUGGCAGUUAUGCAUGGAUCACUUCAGAUUUGUGGAUGAAAUGGAGUGGAAGAUAACUGUGGUUAUCUUCUUGAACUUGGUUACCUUCAAGCUGAGAAGAUGGCUUUAUUUUUUUUCCUAAUGGUGAUGGAGUUGUCCAGGACGUGUCUGUCGAGGUUGCUCCUUCCUUCAUGAGGACCGGCGCUUUGUGAAGUCCCUUAGAGGGGAUAUUCUCAGGGCCAGAACUGUUGCUGAAGCAUCUUUCCGAGGAAGUGAGACAAACUUGGCCCGGCUGUUCGGAGGAAGAAGGGACGGUGAGCUGUGAAUGCCGAGCUUCCGCUUGCGAGAAAGACUCGACCGGCGAUUGAACGGCUGAAGCAAGACAGAAAUUUGAACAGCACCCUGAGCAGAGUGAAAACGGAUCAUGCGGGGUUUCUGCUGUUCCCUUCAAUGAUCACACCGCACUCCUGUUUGGACCAGUGCAAGGCCCUCUGUAUCCAGCAGGUAAACGACAGCUGCCGACACCUGUUAUCAGCAAGGUAUCGACAUGGUUGGCUAUUUUGGCCCUUCCAUUCCUUUGGAAGGAGAGUUCAUAGCCCUGAAGUCUAGAACAUCAUGUGGGAGAAGAUAAUCCUCAGAUUCCUCAGAGCUUCAGGAUUAUUACACAACAAACAUGAGGCAGACUUUGGACGUGAAAAUGCUAUUUACUGACCUUCAUCAGUACUUGAGAACUAAGAUAACUUUUUAAGUAUUCCACGGUAGUGGAAUUUGGGACUGAUUCCUCAAAGAUACAAAUGCUACAUGAAGCUUUGAACCUUUGUAAAGCGGUCCAAAUCUUUCCCCAGAAAUACCAUUUUCAAACUCGUUCAGAAACAUUGAGAAUGUUUAAUAAAAAGUGGUUGGAAGUC